AAAGCUCUUUUGUCAGGGAAGAAACGGGUGGGGCUAAUAUCCCUAUCUAAUGACGGUACCUGAAGAAUAAGCACCGGCUAACUACGUGCCAGCAGCCGCGGUAAUACGUAGGGUGCAAGCGUUAAUCGGAAUUACUGGGCGUAAAGCGUGCGCAGGCGGUUUUGUAAGUCUGACGUGAAAUCCCCGGGCUCAACCUGGGAAUGGCG
rnacentral:rRNA from 1 species